CCUACGGGUCACUGCAGUGGGGAAUAUUGGGCAAUGGAGGAAACUCUGACCCAGCAACGCCGCGUGAAGGAUGAAGGUUUUCGGAUUGUAAACUUCUGUUGCGAGGGAUGAAGAAUGAAGGUACCUCGUAAGACAGCCCCGGCAAACUACGUGCCAGCAGCCGCGGGAAUACGUAGGGGGCGAGCGUUGUUCGGAAUGACUGGGCGUAAAGGGAGUGUAGGCGGUGUAUUAAGUUAUGUGUGAAAGCCCGCGGCUCAACCGGGGGAUUGCACAUAAAACUGGUGAGCUGGAGUGCAGGAGAGGUAAGUGGAAUGCCCGGUGUAGCGGUGGAAUGCGUAGAUAUCGGGAGGAACACCAGAGGCGAAGGCGACUUACUGGACUGUAACUGACGCUGAGGCUCGAAGGCGUGGGGAGCAAACAGGAUUAGAUACCCCAGUAGUC
rnacentral:rRNA from 1 species